rnacentral:tRNA from 1 species
GGAGGAUUAAGCCUAAUGGUAAGGCAGUAGUCUUGAAAACUACCAAUAAUCAAUAAUAUGAUGUGAGAGUUCGAGUCUCUCAUCCUCCU